rnacentral:rRNA from 1 species
UGCCAGCAGCCGCGGUAAUACGGAGGGAGCGAGCGUUAAUCGGAAUUAUUGGGCGUAAAGCGUGCGUAGGCGGUUCGUUAAGUCAAAUCUGAAAGCCCACAGCUUAACUGUGGAGGGUGAUUUGAAACUGGCGAGCUUGAGAACGGCAGAGGUUAGUGGAAUUCAAUGUGUAGCGGUGGAAUGCGUAGAUAUAUUGAGGAACACCAGAGGCGAAGGCGGCUAACUGGACCGGAACUGACGCUGAUGCACGAAAGCGUGGGUAGCGAACAGGAUUAGAUA